rnacentral:rRNA from 1 species
AUUGAACGCUGGCGGCAGACCUAACACAUGCAAGUCGAACGAGUGGCGGACGGGUGAGUAAUGUCUGGGAAACUGCCCGAGGGAGGGGGAUAACUACUGGAAACGGUAGCUAAUACCGCAUACCAUCGGAUGUGCCCAGAUGGGAUUAGCUAGUAGGUGGGGUAACGGCUCACCUAGGCGACGAUCCCUAGCUGGUCUGAGAGGAUGACCAGCCACACUGGAACUGGGACACGGUCCAGACGCCUACGGGAGGCAGCAGGGGGGAAUAUUGGACAGUGGGCGCAAGCCUGAUGCAGCCAUGCCGCGUGUAUGAAGAAGGCCUUCGGGUUGGAAAGUACUUUCAGAGAGGAGGCGUUACUCGCAGAAGAAGCACCGGCGAACUCCGUGCCAGCCGCCGCGGUAAUUC